AUUGAACGCUGGCGGCAUGCCUUACACAUGCAAGUCGAACGGCAGCACGGGUGCUUGCACCUGGUGGCGAGUGGCGCACGGGUGAGUAAUACAUCGGAACAUGUCCUGUAUUGGGGGAUAGCACGGCGAAAGCCGGGUUAAUACCGCCUACUAACUACUGGUGACACCGGGGGACCUUCUGGCCUAGGGCUUUGGUGUUGGCCAAUGGUUGAUUAGCUAGUUGGUGGGGUAAAGGUCUACCAAGGCGACGAUCAGUAGCCGGUCUGAGAGGGCGACCAGCCACACUGGAACUGAGACACGGCCCAGACUCCUACGGGAGGCAGCAGUGGGGAAUUUUGGACAAUGGGCGAAAGCCUGAUCCAGCAAUGCCGCGUGUGUGAAGAAGGCCUUCGGGUUGUAAAGCACUGUUGUCCGGAAAGAAAUCCUUGGCACUAAUACGGUCGGGGGAUGACGGUACCGGAAGAAUAAGCACCGGCUAACUACGUG
rnacentral:rRNA from 1 species